UACGUAGGGUGCGAGCGUUGUUCGGAAUUACUGGGCGUAAAGGGCUCGUAGGCGGCCAACUAAGUCAGACGUGAAAUCCCCAGGCUCAACCUGGGAACUGCGUCUGAUACUGGAUGGCUUGAAUCCGGGAGAGGGAUGCAGAAUUCCAGGUGUAGCGGUGAAAUGCGUAGAUAUCUGGAGGAAUACCGGUGGCGAAGGCGGCAUCCUGGACCGGCAUUGACGCUGAGGAGCGAAAGCUAGGGGAGCAAACGGGG
rnacentral:rRNA from 1 species